UACAGAGGGGGGCAAGCGUUGUUCGGAAUUAUUGGGCGUAAAGAGCUCGUAGGCGGUCUGUCGCGUCGGUCGUGAAAACUUGGGGCUUAACCCUGAGCUUGCGGUCGAUACGGGCAUGACUGGAGUUCGGCAGGGGAGACUGGAAUUCCUGGUGUAGCGGUGAAAUGCGCAGAUAUCAGGAGGAACACCGGUGGCGAAGGCGGCAUUCUGGACCGAAACUGACACUGAGGAGCGAAAGCCAGGGGAGCAAACGGG
rnacentral:rRNA from 1 species